rnacentral:rRNA from 1 species
CACGUAGGGCGCAAGCGUUGUCCGGAUUUAUUGGGCGUAAAGAGCGUGUAGGCGGCCAGACAGGUCCGUUGUGAAAACUCGAGGCUCAACCUCGAGAUGUCGAUGGAAACCGUCUGGCUAGAGUCCGGAAGAGGAGUGUGGAAUUCCUGGUGUAGCGGUGAAAUGCGCAGAUAUCAGGAAGAACACCUAUGGCGAAGGCAGCACUCUGGGACGGUACUGACGCUGAGACGCGAAAGCGUGGGGAGCGAACAGG